UAGAGGCUUGUUUGGAAUACCCAUUUAAGUUGGGAGUUAAUUAAGAGGUUAACUUAGGAUUUAAUUAAGUUGACCUAAGUAUUUAAUUAAAAACCUUAAUCCCUAAAUUUCCCAUCUUCUUCUCCCGAAGCCAUUCUCGCGCGACAUCCUUUUCCCCCGACUCCUCUCCCUCACGAUCCAGUUUCAUCGCCAGUUGCCGGGCAUCAACGCCGACCGCCGGUAACUUCUCCAGGGGGCCUUAGCCGCCCCUUUAGGUCGAUGGUGUUGCAAUUCCUUUUCCUCUCCUCCCCGAUUCUUCCCAUGCUGUUGCGCCAUCGUCGUUGGCAUCGCGAUCGCAUCGACGCAUCGCCGACCGAGCUUCCUGCUUCCCUCUCUUGCUCGUGCCGCUGCGAAUCGUCGACCCACGGGACGCCGGAGCCUUUCUUGGAGCGGUGCCCUAGCAUUCCUACCGAUUCCCUUUGUCUUGGAUCGGCAUCGAUGUGGUCGGGGAAGAAGCUGCGAAUCUGGAUUUGUGCUCCGACGAGGAUUGGACCACUGGGGGCUAUUUGUAGCCAUCAGAUUCUUCCUUCCGGCCAUCUUUCUACCGCUAGGGGUAGUGUGGGACUCUCUUCUUGCUUCGACGUGAAGCUCUCGGCCAGACAUCAGAGAUCGAUUCAGGGGGAUUCUUGUUGGUGGCAGAGGUUACGUUUGGUCGCGGCAGCAAGCAUAUUUUCGACUUUGGAUUAACCACGGUGCAUCCGAAUUUGGGUGAAUGAAGAUGCUUGAGUUAAAGGGGGAUAUCCAUUUCUGCGCAGCUGCUACUGGUUCUUUCAUCGAGUGGCUGCAGAUUCAGUUUGGGUGUUGAUUUUGGGCAUCUAUUUGUGCUGGACCAGCUGUAAAGGGGUGGAGAAGCUCCAUUUUUCUCCACAGCAAACUUUGGAUUUCUUCAUCAAAGGGUGUGGAUUUUGUUGUGGAUCAAGGAUUUUAUUUCGAGGCGCGCGUCUCGACGGGGGAUUGAUUUAUCUUAUCACGAUCGACAGAUUUAAGGCGGGUAUUUCUUCCUUGGCCUCUAUAUAGUUUUU